rnacentral:rRNA from 1 species
GACGAACGCUGGCGGCGUGCCUAAUACAUGCAAGUCGAACGCAGGGGGGACGGGUGAGUAACACGUGGGUAACCUCCCAUCAGAAGGGAUAACACUUGGAAACAGGUGCUAAACCGAUACUGAUGGAUGGACCCGGGGUGCAUUUGCUAGUUGGUGAGGUAACGGCUCACCAAGGCCAUGAUGCAGAGCCGACCGUGGUGGGGGAUCGUCAACACUGGUACUGGGACACGCCCCAGACUCCUCGGGGAGCAGGCGUGAGGGAUGUUUCGGCAAUGGACGAAAGUCGGACCGAGCAACGCCGCUGGAGUGAGGCAGGUUUUCGGAUCGUAAAACUCGGUUGUCAGAGAAGCGGUAUCUAACCAGAAAGCCACGGCUAACUACGUGCCAGCCGCCGCGGUAAUAC